UGUGGUUCUUGGGUGACGCACCUGGAACCAGAGAGGAGGGAGCCUGAUUCCUGGGUGUGUCACCUGAGAACUGCC
rfam:Myotis brandtii contig215635, whole genome shotgun sequence.